rnacentral:rRNA from 1 species
GAGGAGCACACAUCCUUCGACCCGGGGGUCUCCGAAUGGGCGAACCCAUCCGUAGCAGUACGGAUAUCCCGACCCUGAACACAUAGGGGCCGGGAGGACAACCCGGGGAACUGAAACAUCUAAGUACCCGGAGGAGAGGAAAUCAAUCUCGAGACUCCCCGAGUAGCGGCGAGCGAAAGGGGACCGAUGGCCAAACCGUCGAGCGGGCAUACCCGGCAGGGGUUCCGCCGACGGGGUUGCAGGGCCGCGCAUCCGGGGGCUGCCGCCCCCGGGCGCAGGUCCGGCUGGGGAGCGGAACGGCAUGGGAGGGCCGGCCGCAGCGGGUGACAGCCCCGUACGCGAACCCAGACCGGACGGCGCGACGCGGUCCCUGAGUAGGGCCGGGCACGUGAAACCCGGUCCGAACCUGGGUGGACCACCAUCCAAGCCUGAGUACUACCCUGUGACCGAUAGCGCACCAGUACCGUGAGGGAAAGGUGAAAAGCACCCCGGGAGGGGAGUGAAACAGUACCUGAAACCGUGCGCCCACGAGCAGUCGGAGCACCUAUACGGUGUGACGGCGUGCCUUUUGUAGAAUGAGCCAGCGAGUCGCUGGCGCGGGGCGAGGUUAACCGAAAGGGAGCCGGAGCGAAAGCGAGCCUUAACAGGGCGACUUGAGUCCCGCGCCGCGGACGCGAAGCCGGGUGAGCUAUCCGUGGGCAGGCUGAAGCGGGGGUAAGACCCCGUGGAGGGCCGAACGCACGUCGGUUGAAAACGGCGGCGAUGACCUGCGGAUAGGGGUGAAAGGCCAAUCAAACCCGGAGAUAUCUCGUUCUCCCCGAAAUAGCUUUAGGGCUAGCGUCGCGCGUUCACCGCCGGAGGUAGAGCACCGGAUGGACGAGGGGGCUUCGCCGCCUACCGAAUCCAACCGAACUCCGAAUGCCGGCGGCCCAGAGCGCGGCAGUCAGAGCAUGUGGGCUAAGCUGUGUGCUCGAGAGGGAAACAGCCCGGACCGCCCGCUAAGGUCCCCAAGUUCCAGCCGAGUGGCAAAGGAUGUGCGUCCGCCCAGACAACCAGGAUGUUGGCUUAGAAGCAGCCAUGCAUUCAAAGAGUGCGUAACAGCUCACUGGUCGAGUGGACAUGCGCCGACAAUACACGGGGCUAAGCUGGACACCGAAGCGGCGGGAUUUU